UACGUAGGAGGCGAGCGUUGUCCGGAAUCACUGGGUGUAAAGCGCGUGUAGGCGGCCUGCCAAGUCUGCUGUGAAAGCGCCUGGCUUAACCGGGCGAGGUCGGUGGAAACUGGCGGGCUGGAGGCUGGUAGAGGGGGGUGGAAUUCCCGGUGUAGUGGUGAAAUGCGUAGAGAUCGGGAGGAACACCAGUGGCGAAGGCGGCUCUCUGGAACGCAACUGACGCUGAGACGCGAAAGCGUGGGGAGCAAACAGG
rnacentral:rRNA from 1 species